GAAACUGGGAAGCGCCCCAGGCGCACCCAGAAACCCUUUGUGAACUUAUACCUUACUGUUGCCUCGGCGCAUGCUGGCCCCCUCGGGGCCCCCUGGAGACAGGGAGCAGGCACGCCGGCGGCCAAGUUAACUCUUGUUUUUACACUGAAACUCUGAGAAAAAACACAAAUGAAUCAAAACUUUCAACAACGGAUCUCUUGGUUCUGGCAUCGAUGAAGAACGCAGCGAAAUGCGAUAAGUAAUGUGAAUUGCAGAAUUCAGUGAAUCAUCGAAUCUUUGAACGCACAUUGCGCCCUCUGGUAUUCCGGAGGGCAUGCCUGUUCGAGCGUCAUUUCAACCCUCAAGCAUUGCUUGGUGUUGGGGCACUGCUUUUAACGAAGCAGGCCCUGAAAUCUAGUGGCGAGCUCGCCAGGACCCCGAGCGCAGUAGUUAAACCCUCGCUUUGGAAGGCCCUGGCGGUGCCCUGCCGUUAAACCCCCAACUUCUGAAAAUUUGACCUCGGAUCAGGUAGGAAUACCCGCUGAACUUAAGCAUAUCAAUAAGCGGAGGAA
rnacentral:rRNA from 1 species